GUGCACCAGGCGAGAAACCUUUACAAUGUCUUCACGGACGAUAGGGGAAUCCUGAGUGCUCUAGCAUUGCUAGAGCUUUUGCUUACUGAAAAAGGUAGGCGAAUAAGUGGUGGGUAAGACGGGUGCCAGCCGCCGCGGUAAUACCCGCGCCACAAGUGGUGACCACGUUUAUUGGGUCUAAAGCGUUCGUAGCCGGCCUGAUAAAUUCUCGGUGAAAUCCUGUGUAAAUCAUAGGGCGUGCCGGGAAGACUGUCAAGCUAGGAACCGGGAGAGGCUGAGGGUACUCCAGGAGUAGGGGUUAAAUGCCGUUAUGGUUUAACCCUACGGUUUAACAAUCCUGUAAUUCUUGGAGGACCACCGGUGGCGAA
rnacentral:rRNA from 1 species